AUUGAACGCUGGCGGCAGGCCUAACACAUGCAAGUCGAGCGGAUGAAGGGAGCUUGCUCCUGGAUUCCGCGGCGGACGGGUGAGUAAUGCCUAGGAAUCUGCCUGGUAGUGGGGGAUAACGUCCGGAAACGGGCGCUAAUACCGCAUCCGUCCUGAGGGAGAAAGUGGGGGAUCUUCGGACCCCACGCUAUCAGAUGAGCCUAGGUCGGAUUAGCUAGUUGGUGGGGUAAAGGCCUACCAAGGCGACGAUCCGUAACUGGUCUGAGAGGAUGAUCAGUCACACUGGAACUGAGACACGGUCCAGACUCCUACGGGAGGCAGCAGUGGGGAAUAUUGGACAAUGGGCGAAAGCCUGAUCCAGCCAUGCCGCGUGUGUGAAGAAGGUCUUCGGAUUGUAAAGCACUUUAAGUUGGGAGGAAGGGCAGUAAGUUAAUACCUUGCUGUUUUGACGUUACCAGCAGAAUAAGCACCGGCUAACUUCGUG
rnacentral:rRNA from 1 species